GCUUUAUUUCAGUCUGAAUUAUUUUCCUCCUCACCACUUCUGUUUCUUAUUUCAGAAAAAUAAAUGAAACCAAUCCUUAAUUUGCAAAGCUCCAUCUGUUUGUCAGGGUAUUUUGUGACCAGCAGGAGUCAAAAACAGCCCAUAGCGAUGGCAGGAGAGCAAGCAGGAGGUGACUACUGAUUCCGGGAUGCUACUUGUGGAGAUUGAGAAAACAAGCAAAUAAACAAACAAACUUGCCUAGAAACCAAAAGGUUCAGCAAAGUGGUUUUUAAAACCACAAUAAACUGCAGCCUGUGUUUCAGUAUCUCAGGGAAUGCAGGGAAAACAGGAUUGUGUUGAAGAAAAACAUAUAGAACAAAGCAGCGUUUUCCUUCUGUCACUGCACAUCCACAGGGAAGAGUAAUUUGUGGAAACA
ensembl:lncRNA